UACGUAGGGUGCAAGCGUUGUCCGGAAUCAUUGGGCGUAAAGCGCGCGUAGGUGGCUUUGUAAGUCCGUUGUGAAAGUCAAAGGCUCAACCUUUGAAUGCCGAUGGAUACUGCGGAGCUAGAGUACGGAAGAGGCGAGUGGAAUUCCUGGUGUAGCGGUGGAAUGCGCAGAUAUCAGGAAGAACACCCGUGGCGGAAGGCGGCUCUCUGGGACGGUACUGACGCUGAGACGCGAAAGCGUGGGGAGCGAACAGG
rnacentral:rRNA from 1 species